GUACACUCCUGCGGGAGGCAGCAGUGGGGAAUUUUGGACAAUGGGCGAAAGCCUGAUCCAGCAAUGCCGCGUGAGUGAAGAAGGCCUUCGGGUUGUAAAGCUCUUUUGUCAGGGAAGAAACGGUGAAAGCUAAUAUCUUUUGCUAAUGACGGUACCUGAAGAAUAAGCACCGGCUAACUACGUGCCAGCAGCCGCGGUAAUACGUAGGGUGCAAGCGUUAAUCGGAAUUACUGGGCGUAAAGCGUGCGCAGGCGGUUUUGUAAGUCUGAUGUGAAAUCCCCGGGCUCAACCUGGGAAUUGCAUUGGAGACUGCAAGGCUAGAAUCUGGCAGAGGGGGGUAGAAUUCCACGUGUAGCAGUGAAAUGCGUAGAUAUGUGGAGGAACACCGAUGGCGAAGGCAGCCCCCUGGGUCAAGAUUGACGCUCAUGCACGAAAGCGUGGGGAGCAAACAGGAUUAGAAACCCCUGUAGUCCCAUG
rnacentral:rRNA from 1 species